rnacentral:rRNA from 2 species
GUUGACCUCGGAUCAGGUAGGACUACCCGCUGAACUUAAGCAUAUCAAUAAG